UCAAGGGCAGUGCUACCCCCAGUGGGA
rnacentral:piRNA from 1 species